GUUGGCUCCACAGAAAGCAUUGAUAGAAGUUUACUUUGGAAGAGGGCAAUGCAAAAAAAAGAUGGCAGCUAUGAUGAUGUGGUCCUACCGGUAGUGGAAAAAAUAGAUGAAUUGAUGAAAGAGUCUCAAGAGAGUGGCAUAAGCUAUAGUGGGAGCAAUGACAUACUUUCUCAAGCACUAGGUACUCCUGAGUAUACUGGUCGGGUUCGAGCUAAAGGGAAGCACUACACACGCUUGGACAAUAUUUCAAUAGUAUGUCAGAACGUGUUGUGAGGGAUAUUUUAAAAGCAACUCAAGAACGUCAAGUUAAGUUUGAGGCUGAUGUGUUAGCGAGACUAUCUCAGAUAGGAGUUGCUACACCAUAACCUAAUGUGAGUAGUUCCAACAUGAAAUCAAAACUGUUGCUUCUACCAGAAGUAGUGGAGAAACCAAUUCGUAAAGUUGAGGAAGAGACCUUACCUGUGAAAAUAGAACCACACAUGAAGGCAAGAAAAUGUGAGUUGGCAGUAGGGACUAGAGAAAAUACAGUGGCUGGUGGAACAAUUGUAAUGGAUUGUGGUCCCAACUACCUAGUUGUUUUGGAUGCUCCCUAUGAGUCAAAUACACCACUUCCUAUUCCCAUUCCUGGACAAGCUACAACAGUUGGAGCGGCAGUGGGCUACCAAGUUUUAUGGCCAACCCAUUUAGUCAAUUUGAGUACUAAAUU